GUUGGGUGCCAACGGUCUGGAGGUCUUCCUGUAGCUCCAGAGUAGCGGGACAACGUCGCGUCUGAGUCCGAAAUGGGUCCCGUAAUCGGGCUGAGUGGUGCGGUUGGGUGCCAACGGUCUGGAGGUCUUCCCGGAGCUCCAGAGUAGCGGGACAACUUUGCGUCUGAGUCCGAAACGGGUCCCCUAAUCGGACUAAGUGGUGCGGUUGGUUGCCAACGGUCUGGAGGUCCUGAGAAUCAUCCAGGGGAGCGGGACCACUUGGCUUCUGAGUCCGAGAUGAGUCCCCUAAUCGGACUGAAUGGUGCAGUUUCAGUACGCCGUGGACCACUUUGGUCUGCCAUCGUCGGUCGCUACUCGCUACUGUCUGCCGUGGAAUCAAAACAAACCCUCUAGUUGAGGACGCGCCUUGAUGACGCGGGCCCGAAUGCGCCACAAGAAGCAGACGGAAAACCUUAUAUAU
ensembl:lncRNA